rnacentral:rRNA from 1 species
GAUAAACGCUGGCGGCGUGCAUGAGACAUGCAAGUCGAACGAACGAGCUUGCUCGUUAGUGGCGGACGGCUGAGUAACGCGUAGGUGACCUGCCCCGAAGUGGGGGAUAACUGCCCGAAAGGGUGGCUAAUACCGCAUGUGGCGACACCUUCAUUGGUGUCAUCAAAGCCGCGAGGCGCUUCGGGAGGGGCCUGCGUCCGAUUAGCUCGUUGGUGGGGUAAUGGCUCACCAAGGCGACGAUCGGUAGGUGGUCUGAGAGGACGAUCACCCAGACUGGGACUGAGACACGGCCCAGACUCCUACGGGAGGCAGCAGUCGGGAAUUUUGCUCAAUGGGCGCAAGCCUGAAGCAGCAACGCCGCGUGCGGGAUGAAGGCCUUCGGGUUGUAAACCGCUUUUGUCAGGGGCGAUGAUGACGGUACCUGACGAAUAAGUCACGGCUAACUACGUGCCAGCAGCCGCAGUAAAAC